rnacentral:tRNA from 1 species
GCCUGGGUGGCUCAGUCAGUUAAGCAUCUGACUUCUGCUCAGGUCAUGAUCUCACAGCUCAUGAGUUCCAGCCCCAUGAGUUCGAGUCCCGUGUCAGGCU